GUGUUUGCUUCAGCAGCACAUAGACUAAAAAUGGAAUGAUACAGAGAAGGUUAGCAUGGCCCCUGCCCAAGGAUGACACGCAAAUUUCAUGAAGCGUUUCAUAUUUUU
rfam:Tupaia chinensis contig25068, whole genome shotgun sequence.